rnacentral:rRNA from 1 species
UACGUAGGGUGCAAGCGUUAAUCGGAAUUACUGGGCGUAAAGCGUGCGCAGGCGGUUGUGCAAGACAGAUGUGAAAUCCCCGGGCUUAACCUGGGAACUGCAUUUGUGACUGCACGGCUAGAGCGCGGCAGAGGGGGAUGGAAUUCCGCGUGUAGCAGUGAAAUGCGUAGAUAUGCGGAGGAACACCGAUGGCGAAGGCAAUCCCCUGGGCCUGCACUGACGCUCAUGCACGAAAGCGUGGGGAGCAAACAGG